rnacentral:sRNA from 1 species
CAGUCGUUCCAGUUUCGUUGCGGCGAUCGC